GGGCGUAAAGAGCUUGUAGGCGGCUUGUCGCGUCUGCUGUGAAAGCCCGGGGCUUAACCCCGGGUCUGCAGUGGGUACGGGCAGGCUAGAGUGUGGUAGGGGAGACUGGAAUUCCUGGUGUAGCGGUGAAAUGCGCAGAUAUCAGGAGGAACACCGAUGGCGAAGGCAGGUCUCUGGGCCAUUACUGACGCUGAGAGGCGAAAGCGUGGGGAGCGAACAGGAUUAGAUACCCUGGUAGUCCACGCCGUAAACGUUGGGCGCUAGGUGUGGGUCCCAUUCCACGGGGUCCGUGCCGCAGCUAACGCAUUAAGCGCCCCGCCUGGGGAGUACGGCCGCAAGGCUAAAACUCAAAGGAAUUGACGGGGGCCCGCACAAGCGGCGGAGCAUGCGGAUUAAUUCGAUGCAACGCGAAGAACCUUACCAAGGCUUGACAUGUACCGGAAACCCUCGGAGACGGGGGCCCCGCAAGGCUGGUACACAGGUGGUGCAUGGUUGUCGUCAGCUCGUGUCGUGAGAUGUUGGGUUAAGUCCCGCAACGAGCGCAACCCUCGUUCUAUGUUGCCAGCGGUUCGGCCGGGGACUCAUAGGAGACUGCCGGGGUCAACUCGGAGGAAGGU
rnacentral:rRNA from 1 species